AAGGUCAUUGGAGACGAAUACACAAAGGCUUUAAUCUCUAAUGAGACAUAACCCCCACAAAACUAUUCUCUACAACCUAAUUUAUUCUACAUGACUCCAAAAUAUGAGAAAUUACAAUAAGACCAUUAAUAAAAGGACAUCAUUGAUCAAAAUAAAGAGAGCCACACGAUCUAUUUUUUUCUUCUUCUCCUUCCAGCAUGGGACCCAUCCCUCUCUUCUGCAGACUCCUUCUUCAAUUCACGACAAAAAUCAAUCUCACAUCCUUUCAAUUUUUCUUUUCAAUUCUUCACCAACCAAACUCUCCUUUAUCUAUUUUCUUUGUCAUUCAACCAUAUAUUAAACGACAAGCAGCUGAAUCUUCUACAAAAAAAAUUGUAUCUUCCUUCAUAGAUGAACUUGAUGACAAAGAUGACAACGACAAUGGUGACAAUGACUAUGAAGAAACUACUUACGAAGAAAGCCACAACGAAGAAAACAGCAGCAAGGGAAGGAGCAACGAGGGAAGGAGUCUUACUUAUGUGUUAUGGACCUUGCUUAUAUGUUGUGGAACUUAGUUAUGUGUUAGAGAUGUUAUUUAUGUGUUAUAAAACUUUGUAAUGGAUAAAAUUCGUAAUGUGUUGUUUAUGUGAGGUACUAUUGGUAAAAGUUCAUAUAAUAUAUCAGUCAUGUUUUUGUGUUGUAA